AUGGAAUGUUUGGGAAUAGAUGGCGUGAAAUGCAGAUUUGCCGGAGCCCAAAGAGAGCAGCAGCCCGCACAGUUGCAGAUAGAGAUUUUCAGAGGCGGCUGGCUGAAACCCCUCCAGGGAUUGCCACAUUUGGUAGCUGCAAGUCAACUUCUACGCCUUGGGAGAGUGAGGAAGAUCAGAGAGUGGCAUUUUUGCCUGAUUUUAAUGUCACCACCAGUCACCAGGCAAGUCUGCAAUCCUUCCUGCCUGCUUCCUUGGUAUCGGCACAAGCAAGGCUGUAGGGAUCUAAUAUGUAUUAGAGUGUGGCGUGUGGGAUGUAAUAAAAUGAGUAAUCCCUUGCCUUGGCUGGCAGCACAGUAUUCUGAAAUAGGGAGGCUGAGUGCUGGGACUUGUCUGCUGUGCGUGUGUGGGCUCACUCAGAGUCAGAUCACAUGCCCACUUGUUUGGCCAGCUCUGUUAGAACGGUGGUGGUGUUGGUUCAGUGAUACACCAGUGUCUUGUCAUCUGAUAGCUUAGAGAAUGUUCACAUGUAUUUGCAUAUAGAGUUCAGAUCCACAUAUAUUUCAUGUUUGUAAACCGAAAGGUAUCCGAGACAGGUGUCAAUCAAUUUAGAAAGUUCACAUUGUCAAGGCUGAGGAUGCACCCAUGAUGUAGCCUCAGAAGGUCCUGACACGUGCCCAAGGCGGUCCAGGCACCGCUUGGUUUUAUACAGUUUAGGGAGACUAGAGAUACACAGUGGUUCGAUCCUCAAAGGCAGGACUACUUGAAGUGGGGAGGGGGCUUCCAGGUCAUAGGUAGAUAAGAGAGGAACGGUUGCAUUCCGUUGAGUUUCUGAUUAGCCCUUCAUUGAAUAUGCAAUUUUCAGGGAUAGUCCCUUAUGCCUUAGUCUGGUUUAUUGAAACAGUAGGGCAAAGGAAGCAGUCAGAUAUGCAUCUGUCUCACGUGAGCAGAGGGAUGAGGAGUUCUGUCUGUUGACGAUGGAAAGAGUCAAACUCUGUAAAAUAUUUGAAGAGAUUUAUUCUGAGCCAAAAAUGAGUGACCACGGCACACGACACAGCCCUCAGGAGGUCCUGAGAACAUGUGCCCAAAGGGUUUGGGGCGCAGUGUGGUUUUACCCAUUUUAGGGACGAAUGAGACAUCAAUCAAAUACAUUUGAGAAAUACAUUGCUUUGGUGCUGGAAGGCAGGACAGUUAGAAGCAGGGGUUUCCAGGCUAUAUGUGAAUUUAAGCAUUUUCUGGUUGACAAUUAGUUGAGUUUUUCUAAAGAGCUGGGUGGAUAGAAAGGGAAGGUUCAGGCCGGGUGCAGUGGCUCACGCCUUUAAUCCCAGCACCUUGGGAGGCCAAGGUGGGUGGAUCAUGAGGUCAAGAGAUCGAGACCAUCCUGAUCAACAUGGUGAAACCCCGUCUCUACUAAAAAUACAAAAAUUAGCUGGGCAUGGUGGUACAUGCCUGUAGUCCCAGCUACUUGGGAGGCUGAGGCAGGAGAAUUGCUUGAACCCAGGAGGCGGAGGUUGCAGUGAGCCGAGAUCGCGCCAUUGCACUCCAGACUGAGUGACAACAGCGAAACUCCGUCUCAAAAAAAAAAAAGAUUGUGGAGACCAAGACUCUUUUGAAGUCUCUUAGUGGCUGCCCUUAGAGACAACAGAUGACAGGUGUUUCCUAUUCAGACCUUUAAAAGGUGCUAGACUCUCAGUUAGCCUGUUCUAGAUUGGGAGGGCCUGGAAGAAAAAGAUCUAGCUAUGUGAAUAGAGAUUCUUUACAGAUGCAGAUUUUCUCCCACAAAGGAUGCACUUUGUGGGAGAAAGUGCAUUUUGCAGGGUCACUUCAAAAUACGGCCCAAAGGCAGGGCACGGUGGCUCAAGCCUGUGAUCCCAACACUUUGGGAGACCCAGGCGGAAAGAUCACAAAAUGAAGAGAUCGAGACAAUCCUGGCCAACAUGGUGAAACCAAGUCUCUACUGAAAAUACAAAAAUUAGCUGGGCGUAGUGGUAUGCAGCUGUACUCCCAGCUACUCAGGAGGCUAAGGCAGGAGAAUUGCUUGAACCCAGGAGGCGGAGGCUGCAGUGAGCUGAGAUCGUGCCACUGCACUCUAGUCUGGGUGACAGAGUGAGACACUGUCAAAAAAAUAAAAAUCAAAAUAUGGCAAAGAAACA
rnacentral:lncRNA from 13 species